rnacentral:rRNA from 1 species
UAAUACGGAGGGGGCUAGCGUUGUCCGGAGUCACUGGGCGUAAAGCGCGCGUAGGCGGCGCGGUAAGUCGGGUGUGAAAGCCCGGGGCUCAACCCCGGAUGCGCAUCCGAGACUGCCGUGCUUGAGUCCGAGAGAGGGCGGCGGAAUUCCCAGUGUAGAGGUGAAAUUCGUAGAUAUUGGGAAGAACACCGGUGGCGAAGGCGGCCGCCUGGCUCGGAACUGACGCUGAGGCGCGAAAGCGUGGGGAGCAAACAGGAUUAGAUACCCUGGUAGUCCACGCCGUAAACGAUGAGCGCUAGAUGUCGGGGGGUUAUCCUCUCGGUGUCGCAGCUAACGCAUUAAGCGCUCCGCCUGGGGAGUACGGCCGCAAGGUUA